rnacentral:rRNA from 1 species
UGAGUAACGCGUGGGUAACCUGCCCUAAAGCCCGGGAUAACACCGGGAAACUGGUGCUAACACCGGAUACCUUCCGAAGAGGGCAUCCUUUUUGGAAGAAAGGUUAACGCUUUAGGAUGGGCCCGCGUCCCAUUAGCUAGUUGGUGAGGUAACGGCUCACCAAGGCAGUGAUGGGUAGCCGGCCUGAGAGGGUGGACGGCCACACUGGGACUGAGACACGGCCCAGACUCCUACGGGAGGCAGCAGUAGGGAAUAUUGCGCAAUGGGCGAAAGCCUGACGCAGCGACGCCGCGUGGGUGAUGAAGGCCUUCGGGUUGUAAAACCCUGUCCUUGGGGAAGAAGGAAGUGACGGUACCCAAGGAGGAAGCCCCGGCUAACUACGUGCCAGCAGCCGCGGUAAAACGUAGGGGGCGAGCGUCGUCCGGAAUUACUGGGCGUAAAGGGUGCGUAGGCGGCCUUUUAAGUCAGAUGUGAA